CCAUCCAUCCCUCCCAUCCAUCCCAUGGACAAAGCCAGUGCUGACUCUACCUUGUUUUCACAUGCCCUUUUCACCCCUUGAAUUUAUGUCCCACUUCUCUGUUUAAAAGACAGACAGGUGGCAGCAGGAUUCCCACCACAAAUUCCAGAUUUAGAAUGACAUCCCCUGGAUCAUAUUUGAACAUUCAUCUAUGCCCUAAGGUUGUUUGUCUGUUUCUUAGGCUUAUCCUUCAAAGCUGCUCGAAAUAGGGAGGAAUUGUAGCACUAGUGGGAGCACUAAUGGAUGGAGCAACAGGAGUUAAAGGGCAAUAAAGACAGAAAAAGAGGGUUGGCAACCACAGCCAGGACAUCCAACAGUGGCACAGCUGACCAAAGGUUGCAAGAGACCCCAAAUAAUGACCCAAAGCCAAAUGAGGCCAAGGUUUGAAUGAAACCCAUGAAGAAUAGAAAGUCUGAGGAGCAGAAGGCCAGAGAG